rnacentral:rRNA from 1 species
GACGAACGCUGGCGGCGUGCUUAACACAUGCAAGUCGAACGGAGCUAUUUAUUUCGGUAGAUAGCUUAGUGGCAAACGGGUGAGUAACGCGUAGGCAACCUGCCCUCAGGAUGGGGACAACGGCUCGAAAGAGCCGCUAAUACCGAAUGAGGUAACUCUUCCACAUGGAAGAGAUACUAAAGAUGGGUCAAACCAUCGCCUAAGGAUGGGCCUGCGUCUGAUUAGCCAGUUGGUGAGGUAACGGCUCACCAAAGCGACGAUCAGUAGCCGGUCUGAGAGGAUGAACGGCCACAAUGGGACUGAGACACGGCCCAUACUCCUACGGGAGGCAGCAGUGGGGAAUCUUCCGCAAUGGGCGAAAGCCUGACGGAGCAACGCCGCGUGAGUGAAGAAGGUCUUCGGAUCGUAAAGCUCUGUUGUCGGGGACGAAAGAGUAGACGAGGAAAUGCGUUUACUAAGACGGUACGU